CGAAGGGGGCUAGCGUUGUUCGGAAUUACUGGGCGUAAAGCGCGCGUAGGCGGUUUUGCAAGCCAGAGGUGAAAUGCCUGAGCUCAACUUAGGAAUUGCCUUUGGGACUGCGAGGCUUUGAGGACUGGAGAGGUGAGUGGAAUUCCCAGUGUAGAGGUGAAAUUCGUAGAUAUUGGGAAGAACACCGGUGGCGAAGGCGGCUCACUGGCCAGUUUCUGACGCUGUAGCGCGAAAGCGUGGGGAUCAAACAGGAUUAGAUACCCUGGUAGUCCACGCUGUAAACGAUGAGUGCUAGGCGUCGGCAUGCUUGCAUGUCGGUGCCGCAGCUAACGCGCGAAGCACUCCGCCUGGGGAGUACGGUCGCAAAGAUUA
rnacentral:rRNA from 1 species